AGUUUGAUCAUGGCUCAGAACGAACGCUGGCGGCAUGCCUAACACAUGCAAGUCGAACGAACCCUUCGGGGUUAGUGGCGCACGGGUGCGUAACGCGUGGGGAUCUGCCCAAAGGUUCGGAAUAACUCAGAGAAAUUUGAGCUAAUACCGGAUAAUGUCUUCGGACCAAAGAUUUAUUGCCUUUGGAUGAACCCGCGUAGGAUUAGCUUGUUGGUGGGGUAAAGGCCUACCAAGGCGACGAUCCUUAGCUGGUCUGAGAGGAUGAUCAGCCACACUGGGACUGAGACACGGCCCAGACUCCUACGGGAGGCAGCAGUGGGGAAUAUUGGACAAUGGGCGAAAGCCUGAUCCAGCAAUGCCGCGUGAGUGAUGAAGGCCUUAGGGUUGUAAAGCUCUUUUACCAGGGAUGAUAAUGACAGUACCUGGAGAAUAAGCUCCGGCUAACUCCGUG
rnacentral:rRNA from 1 species